rnacentral:rRNA from 1 species
GACAUCCCACGGAAGCUUGNGGAGACCCCGAGUGUGCCUUCGGGAACCGUGAGACAGGUGCUGCAUGGCUGUCGUCAGCUCGUGUUGUGAAAUGUUGGGUUAAGUCCCGCAACGAGCGCAACCCUUGUCCUUAGUUGCCAGCACGUAAUGGUGGGAACUCUAGGGAGACUGCCGGUGAUAAACCGGAGGAAGGUGGGGACGACGUCAAGUCAUCAUGGCCCUUACGAGAUGGGCUACACACGUGCUACAAUGGUCAGUACAAAGGGUUGCCAACUAGCGAUAGUGAGCCAAUCCCAUAAAGCUGGUCGUAGUCCGGAUUGGAGUCUGCAACUCGACUCCAUGAAGUCGGAAUCGCUAGUAAUCGUAGAUCAGAAUGCUACGGUGAAUACGUUCCCGGGCCUUGUACACACCGCCCGUCACACCAUGGGAGUGGGUUGCUCCAGAAGUAGAUAGCUUAACCUUCGGGAGGGCGUUUACCACG